rnacentral:pre_miRNA from 2 species
UCUUAUGGAUGAGUCAAGAAAGUGGCUUCUUAAGAUAGAAUCUACUCCUGGUGAAGAUACUGUGAA